rnacentral:antisense_RNA from 1 species
CACGCGCGCGCACACACGGUGAUAUCUUGCGGGUGAUGAAUAUGAUAAUUGGACAAGGGACGAGAGAACCAUUCUCUGCUUUCAAUAGGACAGAAGAGCUCCUUGGCACUGGAUGCCUCCGGGUCUGGUUGAGAGAGGAAUGGUUAGGAGAUUGUUCUGAGGAUAUGCAGACAUCAUCCAAAGCUUCCUACAUUCAGAUGAGGACAGAGGUUGGGCUAGAGCUUUGUAUGCUUGUUACCUAAGUAUGGUUCUGACCAUGUAAGCAGAUCACAGAAGCUGGAGGCAAAUAAUGCCAAGAUGGGAAAGCCACAUAAUGGAAGGAUCCCAGAUUUCAGAGCUGUCACUUGGAGGAGGGGCACACAGUGAAGGUGUCUAUCUAACCCACACCAUAUCUUCAUGAAGUGGCCAUAUGGAUUUGAUCCCUAUCCUUCAGAGGUGCUCAGCCUAAGGGAACAUGGGUAGAAGAUUAAGCACUGACCAGAGCCAGCCUUGACAAUGUGCUGAUGGCAACCUAGAACAUAAGCAGAGGAGUAUACAGGAUGAGAACUUGAUGGUCUCAGGAAAAUGGACAACAUUUCCUCAGGUGAAAAAGAUUGAUCAUCAGAUGUUUCUUAUGUAUCAACCUGAUAUUUAAAUCCAUGAAGGAGAGAGAUGACAAAGACAGGUGGAAUAGAUAGAGAAGAGGUUCAAGGUCUGAGCUCUACAUUACUCAAACUGUUAGAGAUUAGGAAGAAGAGGAAAACCUGGCAAAAGAAUGUCCUGGGAUGUAGAAAGAAAACCAGAAGCUUGCGGUCUCUGGAAACCAAAUGAAGAAAGGGCUUCCAGAAGGACAGACAAAGUGUAGUGUGUCAAAGGCUCCUGAGCAAUCAGAGGAGAGCACAAAGGGGCUCACAGGACUUUGGUAUCUGGAUCUCCCAGUGACACUUCCUGAUCAAGAGAAACUGUCAGACCAACAGGGGCACUUUCUGAAACCAGCAGUUCUUCAGUGCCCAAAUACAACCUUGAUGGUUUGAUUUUGGAGGAUGGCAAUUCACUAACAGCACUCCCCAGUGAUAAAUAUGAAAACCAAUAAAACCCCCCACCCAAGGUAACCUCUCCCAGCUCCUCGCUUUGAGUAAAGCGAGUAACCUCCAUUUCUGCCAACUCCUGUCUUGUCUGAAGCCACAUUUCCCCAGCAAUGUCACACAUAUGCCUUUCUUGAUCCUGGUCAUUUCUCCUCUUGGGAGAUGAAUCAUAAAGAAAAUGAGAUCUGUGUGCCCUGGUGACUAUGGAUGCAAGAGUCUGCUGCCCUGGAGGGAAGAGCUGGAAAAGUAGAUGGCAAAGGCGGGUGGGGUGGAAGCAGUGGAGAAGGCGUCUUUGCAGGGGAUCAAGGUGACAGAGUGAUUAGUUACGUUGUUUUGGCAUGUGAGAACAGGGGGUUAUAAAAAUGGAUACAGGAAGAGGGAGAGAAAGUAAGGACUAAAACAUGAAGCCAGUCAUGAAUGUUUUUACAUAAAAAGCAGCAGAUUUAUGGCAAAUAUGUGAUGUUUCCACACUUUCUGCCCCCAGUUAGCAGGGGCAGCGCAAAUAGCAUUACUGUGGAGCUGAACUUUGGGUAAAAGAUUAACAGCCAGUCCUUUUUCUCCAGUGUCUGCUUCCUUCUGGGCUUUCCCUGGGGGAAAAGGAGGGCUGGCAUGGAUGUGCCUGCAGCCCUCACCCUGAAUGUUCUUCCACGCCUCUCUGUUCAUUCAUUGUUUAGUCAUUCCUCAGGCAUAGAUUGGGCCCACUGUGUGCCCAGCACCGACCUGGCAUAGGAUGGACAUAGAGAUGGAAAAGGUACAGGGAGCAGGUGACAGAGACAAAUCAAGGUCAUGGAGAAUAGCAGAGUAAGACAGAAGAUGAAGGCAGAAGAUGGGGUUCUAGAGAAAGCGAGAGCAGGACUGACCCGUGUCUGCCUCACCUGUUAUUGCUGUAGCCUCUUCUCCUUGGAGUAUCCCUCCUGCUCUUGCAUCACCUUAGGAACUUGGAUCACAGAGGAAAGUUAUGGCCUGGAUAUGUUGUAGUAGGAGGGGAUAAACACAUUUGGAGACAGAAAUGCUUGGGGAGCGAGUGUUUUGGGGGGAUGAGACUUUCCAGGUCUCUCAAUUCACAGUAUGUAGGUAGUUCACUGCACAGCUUGAAUAAGAGACAACUCUCCGGAGUGGUUGGCUUUCAUCCAAAAAAUGUGUUUUGGGCCUCAGAUUUCCAACGGAAGGGCUGAAGCGUGACUCGCCUGACGUCAACUACUGAAGUCCACCUGCCCCUGCCCUAUCAGGUGUGGAAAUGCUGGGGUUCCUCUAUCAGAACCUACUUCCUGAGAUGUCAAAAUAUACCCAAGAGUAUUUCUGGGCCUUCUCCAAUCCGAAACUGUUUAGUUUUUGUGUGUGUGUGCCUACUUGGCCUCACUAAAAGACAGAGGUGGCCUGGGUGAAAUGCAGAUAUCUAGAGGCUCUCUGACAAAGCUCAGGCCACCAGCCCCAGGCCAGCCUGUGGGUAGUCCUGGCUGACAGUCACUUCAUACCUCACCUGGGCUUUUUGCCAAAUUCAAAGUGUGUGUAUAUGUGGAGUGCCGGGUUCCCACCACUGACAGUCUGUAAGUCAUUCACUUAGCUCAAUUUGUCUUACUUUCUUCUGAAAUUUCUUCCUUCUUGUUUUUUUUUCCCAGGAGAAACCAGGAGAAGCAGUCCUAGGGCAGCCUCUGGGCCAGCUUUCCCUAAUAAGAAGGCAGAGCUCCUCUUCACUCAGACUUCAGACCUAUAGAGGCAGCCUGGAGUCCCGGGAUGCCCUUGCACUCAGAGAUGUCCCCAGAGUCCUAGAGAAAUGGAGGAUAACUAGGAGGAAACUGUUCGUGGCUGGUGAUGGGGUCUAUACGUUCUUGUCCAUCUCAGUGCUGUCUGCUAUUGAAUUUUUGUGUAGAUCACAUUAACUUAAAGCCAGUUCUCAAGAAGCUCCCCCCGCCCCCGGCAUAUCCACCGGUUGCUCCCCUUUCCUGCCAUUAAUCAGUGUCUGCUAAUUAGAGAACAAAUUCCUAUUUGUCCAAACAGUUGCCAACACCCCCACCCCAAGGCAGUUAAAUGAGGAUAAAUGAAUCAGUCUUAUUAAAAAAUGACUUAAAUUUAUCAAAUUCUAUUUAUGUUUCUUUUACAUCCCAAUUUUCUAUAGAUUUAGUGACUCCAAAUGAUAAGGUCUCAAGCUUAUAAUUUAUCCCUUGAGUAACACAAAGCUUGGUGGUAUUUCAGUAAUAUUCAUGACAACAGCAGCAGUUGUGCUAAUAAGGACUGAUGUCACCAGAGCAGUUUCUAUGUGCCAAGCAUGGUGCACAACACUUUACAUGCAUUAUAUCAUUUAAUUUUCACAAAACCUCGCAGAGGUAAAUAUUAUUAUCUUCCUCUGCAUAUAGGGAAAUGAAUGUUCAGAAAGAUUAAGUCAACUCACUGAGGUCCCAUCGGUGCUCUUUCAUAUGACUUUGUUGCCGUCUCAUUGAACUAUUGAAAUCAGAAAAACCUGGAGCCCUUGUUAACCUUCAGAUUCCUGGGCCGCAUCUUAGAUGCAGGGAGUCAGACUUCCUAGGAGUGUGGCCCUGGAAUUGUCAUUUGUAAACACAUUCCCCAAGAGACUUGUAUGCACACUAAAGUGGGAGAAUUCACAAUCUCUGGCUUUUGUGAUGUUUUAAACGCACUAUAUAAUUUCAAUAGCAAAAGGGUUGGGCUUUGGGAAGGGAGUGUGUGGUGAACCCUGAAAGCUGAAUGGACUUCCUUCCUAUGGAGGAGCAGUGGGAAAAAUUGGAGGCAGAGAGCUGUGUUUCAGUCCUUGAUUGAGCUUAUGUGAGUUAUUUUAUCUCUCUCAGUCUCUAUUUUUUUCAUUUGUAAACCAGGAAGGAUACUUUUAUUUUCCAGGUGGUUGUGAGGUGUGAAAGAAAUGAGAGUAGAAUAAAAUUUAAAAAGUUGAAAGCACUCAAUAAAUGUAUGCGCUAUUAAUCAUGGGUUUCCCUGGGGCUGAGGAAGCCACCGCAGGCCUGUGCACAAUGCCAGCCACCUUGUGUGGAUACAGAGGAGGCAAAAGGACUAGUGAACACUCCCAGGGACUGGGUAUCUUGAAUAUCUGUCCGGCUUUCUUGGGAGGGGCCAUUUCUUCUGUAACUCAAAGGAAUUUAUUAUUUUUAAGCCAGGGAGGCAUGCUUUCUAUCUGCUGCUGGUACUCCCAGACCAAGUUGUUUCACUGGGACUGAGGUGUGACUUCUGCCUCAGUUUCAUCCAUCUGUGCAGGGAAGAGAAAAAUGUCUGCACCUCCACGGUCACACCCUCUGUUGGAAACACCUCCUUAAGCCAGAAUUAUUGAAUGUUCUCUAUGUGCCAGAAUUAUUAUUAUUAUUUCAUUUGAUUCUCACAACAAUGCCAUGAAGUCUACACAGACAUACCUUGGAAAUACAGCGGGUUUGGUUCCAGACCACUGCAAUAAAGCUAAUAUCGCAAUAAAAUGGGUCACACGAAUUUUUUGGAUUAGGCUUCGGCUUAAGGGAAUGUUGUGGCUGGUUUGAUCUUUUAUCCAGACCGCUAACACUUUCUCCCUAUCAGCAAUAAGGCUGUUUUGCUUUCUUAUCAUUCCUGUGUUCACUGGAGUAGCACUUUUAAUUUCCUUCAAGAACUUUUCCUUUGCAUUCAUAACUUGGCUAACUGUUUGGCAUAAGAGGCCUGCCUAGCUUUUGGCCUAUCUAAGCUUUUGACUUGCCUUCCUCACUGAGCCUAAUCAUCUCUAGCCUUGGAUUUAACAUGGAAAAUAUGUGACUCUUCCUUUCACUUGAACACUUGGAAGCUAUUGUAGGGUUAUUAACUGGUCUAAUUCAAUAUUAUUGUGUCUCAGGGAACAGGGAGGCUCAGAGAGAGAGAGACGGGAAAAUAGCAAGUCAAUGGAGCAGGCAGAACACACACAUUUAUUUAUUAAGUUUGCUGUCAUAUGUUGGUGCAGUUCAUGGUGCCCCAAAACAAUUACAAUAAUAAGAUCAAAGAUUCCUGGUCAUAGAUCGCCAUAACAGAUAUAGUAAUCAUGAAAAAGUUUGAGAUAUUGUGAGAAUUACGCAGAUAUUGUGAGAAAUAUGACCCAGAGACAAGAAGCGAGCACAUGCCGUUGGAAAAAUGGCACCAACAGACUUGCUUGAUGCAGGGUUACACAAACCUUCAAUUUGUAAAAAAAACAAAACAAAACAAAAAAAACCCUAAAAUCUGCAAAAUACAAUAAAGAAAACUGUAAUAAAAUGCA